CUACACGGGUUUCUAAUCCUGUUCGCUCCCCACGCUUUCGCGUCUCAGCGUCAGUACCGUACUAGAGAGCCGCCUUAGCCACGGGUGUUCUUCCUGAUAUCUGCGCAUUUCACCGCUACACCAGGAAUUCCACUCCCCUCUUCCGGACUCUAGCCAGACGGUUUCCAUCGACCUCUGAAGGUUAAGCCUCCAGUUUUCACAACGGACCUGUCUGGCCGCCUACACGCUCUUUACGCCCAAUAAAUCCGGACAACGCUUGCCCCCUACGUAUUACCGCGGCUGCUGGCAC
rnacentral:rRNA from 1 species